rnacentral:misc_RNA from 1 species
CGGAGUUCAGUCUUCCCAGGCCCACCAUUUUGAUCGAGUGCGGAGCAUUCGUCUUCUGGUACGGGGCCAUAGCUCAGCUGGGAGAGCGCGUGCUUUGCAAGCAUGAGGUCGUCGGUUCGAUCCCGUCUGGCUCCACCAGAUGGAAUUGAAGCUCGAUAGCGCCUCGUUCAUUUCGUCCGCGAAACAUCACUUCGCACUCAUUGGUCCGGAUGGACGGUGACGUGCGUGUUUUCUGACAUCGUAAAGAGGAGAUCGAUCCGAGUUUGGAUCAAGCGAAGCAAUUCGCCUGAGCCAUUCAUUAUCUCCGGGAUCAUUUCGGCGCUCGCUUCAAUCGUGAGAUUGGAUGCGGGUUGUAAAUGAUCCCUUUUAGCGAAGCUUGACCGCCUCGCUAUCGGGCCGAUCUUACGAAGCAAGCUGGUCUUUCUAGUCGAUGUCCGGCUGCGCAAUCGCAUUCAUCGAGGAUGCGUGCCUGAGACUUCGGUCUUCGGGCAGUUGUGCAGACAACAUUCUGCCGAGUGUGUGGACAUUGAUAAUGAGAGCAAUCAAGUGCCUUAAGGGUGUUCGGUGGAUGCCUUGGCGCUGAGAGGCGAUGAAGGACGUGCUACGCUGCGAUAAGCC